GGGGAUUUGGCUCAGUGGUAGAGCGCUUGCCUAGCAAGCGCAAGGGUCUGGGUUCGGUCCCCAGCUCCG
rnacentral:tRNA from 1 species